AACAGCAGAAUGAAGUCUUCUGGGAGCACUCUGGACAAACAGGCAAAUGCAGCCGCUGAGUACGUAAAUUGAGGAAAUUGAGUAGGAUAAAAAAAAAAUCUUCUGGUUAUCACAUAAAAAAGAAGAUAUAUUUGGCUGGUACAAUCAGGAGGAAUGUAAAGCUCCCACGCCUGCCUUCAAUAAUUGAUGAAGUGGGUCAGUGACAUUUUACAGGGCUGUGAUUGAAUUGCACCCUUGAGGAUAAAUAGCGCAUAAACCUUUUCCGCCAGCUCUUUGGAGGGAGCAAGAAGGGUGAGAAAUCGGAUCAGACACAUUAGUCUGCUGACUAAGACUGUAGGCUUCAGUAGACUGUGAGUGAAAAUAAUGGAUUAUAUAUGUUUUUCAUGACCCAGUUUUCUGACAACCAGUUUAUUCUAUAUGCGCUGACACCACUCCUGAUACAUACAACCUCAGAGAAUAAACUCAGCUAUAAUUUGAAAUGUGCUGGCAAUGAGAAGAAAUUAAAUUAAAUUGUAUAUAGAGGAUAAAUGUUCAAACCUGAAUCAGUAUUAAAACCCAGAUUUGUUUACACUUAUGGCAUCAGGGUUGUUCUUAGGUCGGUCUUUACAAAAAGAGCUCAAUACAUGCAGUGUGAGUCUACACUUUCCCUGUUUUUAAUCUAAUCAAAAUUUGCAUCUAGUAAAUAUGAAUCAACCAUAUAUAAGUGCAUAGAAAAGCAAAGUGUUAUUAAAUAAUCUAAUUAAAAUUUACAUCUAGUAAAUAUGGAUCAACCAUAUAUAAGUGCACAGAAAAGCAAAGUGUUGUUAAAUAUGCAUACUACUGACUUAAUCAUAGGAGUUAAGGGGAAACUUGAGAAAACUAGGAUUUUUUGGUAUGUUUUUCUUCUCCUUAAUCUAAUCAGACAACACUAAAAGCCCAAGAGGUAUAUAAACUUCAGUAACUAGUUAUAUUAAACCUGUGUUUACUUAGAUGAUUUGUAUGAGAUAAAUAAGUAAUUACCCAAAGGACAUUAAAAAAUGGAAUAUAUGAGACUGCAUGUGAGCAAGCUAACACAAGGCAGAGAGCCUGACUGGUGCAUAUUUAAUAAGAAGAAUUCCCUGUGCUUUUAUAUCGUCUUCUAUUCUAUAGAAGUCCUUAUAUCACCUUUAUCACCAUAGUAACUCAGCACUUUGCAGUCUUCUCCUUCUAUUCAUUGUAUUAUUUUAUCAGUUUAGUAAAGGAUAAAGUGUUUCCCAGAUCAUCCACCAUUUGGUACCCUGCCUUGUGGGCAUCCUGCCAAGAAAUAUUGUGAAUAAUAUAAUAAUUCAGCAAUCUUCUCCAGAAUAAGAAGUGAUCCCUGAUUUAUACUACCGUACAAUCAAUUUAUCAUUGUAUUUCAUCAUAAUAUUUAAAACUGAAUUAAUCAUGAGUGCUUAACAUCUUUUAACCACUUGAUAAACAUUUCUGUAUCCUUCUGAGUCUGGAGUAUCAAUUACUAUGGUCAUAAACCUCGCACAGGUUGAAGACUGGCUCUAAACUGUCUCUGUCAAAAAGCUGCAUUCAAAGAAAACAGUCAUUAUUUAAGCUCACUAGAGGGUAUUUUUAAAAUUUUCCUCUAUUACAGUACCCCCAAAAGGAAGGAAGGUGCCAGGAAAGCAUGUUUUGUAGCCUCACUUUGCUAUAUUAUUAAAUAUGAACAGCCAUAACAGACUAGAAAAAAUUAGAAGGUAUUUUCAUUUUCAUGCAUAUUUAGUCAUUUCCCUUUGAGCUAUAGCAUAUGAAAUUAGAUAAAUAUGUAGUUACUAAUUAAAUGUUACAUGCUCUCAGAGUGGAUACAUCAGUUAAAAGGAAAGAAAAUCUGCAGUUAGCUAGUUUCAUACAAACAGGAAUGGUAAAGAUUAUAUCAGUGAGUAAAAACAGUUUAAUAGAUUGUAUUCAAAAAAUUAGGAUAUUUCUCUGUCAUUUAAGCAUUUUUUUCAAAGAUACCACCUCCAUAGUUUCUAAAUAUGCGUUUGGCUUACUUUUAUUUAUUCAUACUGAAGCAGUGUGCCUAGAGGCUUUGUCAAAAAGCUUGAGUUUAUCUGCAUGAAUACAUACCUCACUACCUUGAAACAAAGCUGACGUUUCUGGGGUUUGAUCAUUUCACUGCAAACCAUACAUACAUUUCUCCUAGCUUUUAUUUAACAUUGCAAAGCGUUCUUCUUCUGUGUCACAAUACUUCAGUUUUGUGCUUACAGAUUAAUCAUAAUAUAUGAUAGCUAGGCUGGAUGACCCAGAGAAGCAUUUUAGCUUUUAUUCUGAAUAUAACUUUCCAAAGUCUACCUUUUGAUUUGGUUUUAUUCUUAGCAGCACUUCUUUACGCACACUGUUUCUUAAUGUUACCAGCAAAGGCUCAGAAGGAUAAAAAUGUUUUUUUCAACCAUAAAGUACUAUCAUUACGUCAACAGAUAUCUGGUCUCACUAAAUCCUGCCAUAAGAAAUUUAAUUUAAAUGAACAUACUACUUUCAAUCCAUUAG